rnacentral:rRNA from 1 species
GGGCCCGCACAAGCAGUGGAGCAUGUGGUUUAAUUCGAUGCAACGCGAGGAACCUUACCAGGGCUUAAAUGCAGAACGACAGAGGUGGAAACACCUCCUUCUUCGGACGGUCUGCAAGGUGCUGCAUGGUUGUCGUCAGCUCGUGCUGUGAAGUGUCGGGUUAAGUCCCAUAACGAGCGCAACCCCUAUUUCUAGUUGCCAGCGGUUCGGCCGGGGACUCUAGAGAAACUGCCAGCGUAAGCUGUGAGGAAGGUGGGGAUGACGUCAAAUCAUCACGGCCCUUACGUCCUGGGCUACACACGUGCUACAAUGGUAGGGACAGAGAGUUGCCAACCCGCGAGGGUGAGCUAAUCCGACAAACCUAGUCGUAGUCCGGAUCGGAGUCUGCAACUCGACUCCGUGAAGUCGGAAUUGCUAGUAAUCGCGAAUC